rnacentral:rRNA from 1 species
CGAGCGGUAGGCCCUUCGGGGUACACGAGCGGCGAACGGGUGAGUAACACGUGGGUGAUCUGCCUCGUACUUCGGGAUAAGCCUGGGAAACUGGGUCUAAUACCGGAUAUGACUACUGGUUGCAUGACUGGUGGUGGAAAGAUUUAUCGGUGCGAGAUGGGCCCGCGGCCUAUCAGCUUGUUGGUGGGGUAAUGGCCUACCAAGGCGACGACGGGUAGCCGACCUGAGAGGGUGACCGGCCACACUGGGACUGAGACACGGCCCAGACUCCUACGGGAGGCAGCAGUGGGGAAUAUUGCACAAUGGGCGGAAGCCUGAUGCAGCGACGCCGCGUGAGGGAUGACGGCCUUCGGGUUGUAAACCUCUUUCGACAGGGACGAAGCGUGAGUGACGGUACCUGUAGAAGAAGCACCGGCCAACUACGUGCCAGCAGCCGCGGUAAUACGUAGGGUGCGAGCGUUGUCCGGAAUUACUGGGCGUAAAGAGCUUGUAGGCGGUUCGUCGCGUCGAUCGUGAAAACCUACCGCUCAACGGUGGGCUUGCGGUCGAUACGGGCGGACUAGAGUACUUCAGGGGAGACUGGAAUUCCUGGUGUAGCGGUGAAAUGCGCAGAUAUCAGGAGGAACACCGGUGGCGAAGGCGGGUCUCUGGGAAGUAACUGACGCUGAGAAGCGAAAGCGUGGGUAGCGAACAGGAUUAGAUACCCUGGUAGUCCACGCCGUAAACGGUGGGUACUAGGUGUGGGUUUCCUUCCACGGGAUCCGUGCCGUAGCUAACGCAUUAAGUACCCCGCCUGGGGAGUACGGCCGCAAGGCUAAAACUCAAAGGAAUUGACGGGGGCCCGCACAAGCGGCGGAGCAUGUGGAUUAAUUCGAUGCAACGCGAAGAACCUUACCUGGGUUUGACAUACACCAGAAAGCUAUAGAGAUAUA